rnacentral:rRNA from 1 species
AUUGAACGCUGGCGGCAGGCCUAACACAUGCAAGUCGAACGAGUGGCGGACGGGUGAGUAAUGUCUGGGAAACUGCACGAUGGAGGGGGAUAACUACUGGAAACGGUAGCUAAUACCGCAUACCAUCGGAUGUGCCCAGAUGGGAUUAGCUUGUAGGUGAGGUAACGGCUCACCUAGGCGACGAUCCCUAGCUGGUCUGAGAGGAUGACAAGCCACACGGGAAUGGAGCAACGGUCCAGACUCCUACGGGAGGCAGCAGGGGGGAUGAUUGCAAAAGGGGCGCAAGCAUGAUGAAGCCAUGCCGCGUGUAUGAAGAAGGCCUUCGGGUUGUAAAGUACUUUCAGCGGGGAGGCGUUACCCGCAGAAGAAGCACCGGCUAACUCCGUGCCAGCAGACGCGGUAAUAC